GCCGACUGCUUAUUCUUCAGGUACACGUCAUUUAUUCCUCCCUGAAAAAAGAGGUUUACAACCCAUAGGCAGUCUCCCUCACGCGGUAUUGCUCCGUCAGGCUUUCGCCCAUUGCGGAAAAUUCCCC
rnacentral:rRNA from 1 species